UUUUCUUUGGCCAUAAAAUAUGCUAAUCUUACCAAAAAAAGUUUUAGGAUUUAAAUGAUAUUGAAAAAUUUCCUGGAACACUUGAAUCAUAUCUAUACAUAAAACAAGGAAGGAAAAUUUUCACCUGUGAGAUCUUGAAUAUUUUUCUGUUCCAUUUGAUUUUGAAUUUUUUUCAGUUGCAUUAAUAAUGAGUGUCAAUGUGAGACCAUUUUUCACAUCUAUCAUCUUUCAUAAAUGAACAAACCUCAGUUAAGGAAUUUUCUUCUUACCUAGUGUUUUGAUCACAUCCCUACAGUUUUAUAAUCUGAUGUUCAUUUUUAAGAGUUUAUAAUACUAGCUUUAAUAUCCAUUUAACCCAAAUAAACUUUAGAAGAAUAUUUUCUAUUUCUUUACAUGUUAUUACUUUCAAUAGAAAAAAAAAAUUCUUUUCAGCUAUCCUGUUUGCUUUUAACUUCUAAUUGGAGAACACUGUAGUUGAGAGAUAUGGCUUUGGAGGAUAUAUUGAUAUGUUUGUUGUGGCUUAAUCUGUAGUCAAUCUCUUUAAAUAUUUCAAAUAUUCUUAUUUGUUUUGUUAUGAUGUGUCAAUCAUUGUGUUUAUAUCAUUUUGUUCUUCAAAUUUUCAUGUCUCUGAUUUUUUUCAAGCAAAUAUAUUAACGAUCUUCAAAUUUGUUCUUAUAUUUAUAAUCAUUUUUGCUUUGAGUACUUUAAGCUAUAUAAUCUGACAUUAUUAUAUCAUAUUCUAUAUGAAAAUGUAGUUUAGCAAGAUGGACUACUAUUAGGAUAGCAUUAUACACCUUCACAUUGGAAUCCAGAUUCUGUAUCUUGAUGCAGUUUAUUUCUUGAUCACAGUUGCUUGAGUGCAUUCUCAGUAAAGCAGUGAACUAUGCGGUUUUACAGGGGUUCCAGAGUCUUCCCUUUCUGGUUCCUCUAGGUCCUUCCUCUAGGUCCUCAGAAUUUCAUGUCUUUGGGUAUGUAUUGGGGAAAGGGGAGAGAGGAGUGUUCAGGGGAAUGUUAAAAGGCCAUUCAAGAGUUUACUACAUCUAGCUGCUUUCCCAGAAGGAGGAUAUUAUUUUGGUGAAACAUAGAAAUGUUUGGCUCACAAUUUAAUGCUUAUCCCUAGAAUAUCUUUUGUUUUCCUGAUAUUGGAUGUGCUGCAUUUUUUAUAACAUUUCAUUAGCAUGAAUUUGCAUCCUUCAUGUUCA
rnacentral:lncRNA from 1 species